GCUCUCCCCAAGGACGAAGCCAUGCAUGCCCGCUCACCCGGGACGCGGCGGACGGCUCAGGACAUCGGUUGCACCCCCCGCGGCGGUCCCUGCUAGCCGGACACCGCUGGCAACCCGGCGCCAAGACGUGCGCGCAAGGGCGGGCGCCCGCGGGCGAGCAGCGUGACGCAGCGACGGCCCGCCCGGGCUUCCGGGGCAUCACCCGGUCGGCGCGGUCGCGGCGGCCCGAGGGCCCGACGCCU
rnacentral:rRNA from 1 species